UACAGAGGUCCCAAGCGUUGUUCGGAUUCACUGGGCGUAAAGGGUGCGUAGGCGGUUGGAUAAGUCUGAUGUGAAAUCUUCGAGCUCAACUCGGAAACUGCAUCGGAAACUAUCUAGCUAGAGGAUUGGAGGGGAGACUGGAAUUCUCGGUGUAGCAGUGAAAUGCGUAGAUAUCGAGAGGAACACCAGUGGCGAAGGCGAGUCUCUGGACAAUUCCUGACGCUGAGGCACGAAAGCUAGGGGAGCAAACAGG
rnacentral:rRNA from 1 species